CAAGUUUUGGUAAAACCCAGGACAGCUGAUCCGAGGGCCUCCUUUGAGCCAACUCCUCCUCCUUGUGCAGGUCCAGUCUGCGCUGCUCCAACACUCGCGUCAGCUCCGGUUUCUCCUCCAGCAGGCCCCUGCACGCCUGACAGAAGUCAACUAAAGGUCUGACAGAUGGCCACCAGACCAGACCAGGCUUUGACCUCUCACUCACCGGACAAGAGUAAAGAAAACAACUCACUUUUCUUGGAGUCGACGCCUCCAUGGCAGGAUGGUG